GGGUGCUAAUACAUGCAAGUCGAGCGAACAGAUGAGGAGCUUGCUCCUUUGACGUUAGCGGCGGACGGGUGAGUAACACGUGGGUAACCUACCUAUAAGACUGGAAUAACUCCGGGAAACCGGGGCUAAUGCCGGAUAACAUGUUGAACCGCAUGGUUCAACAGUGAAAGACGGUCUUGCUGUCACUUAUAGAUGGACCCGCGCCGUAUUAGCUAGUUGGUAAGGUAACGGCUUACCAAGGCGACGAUACGUAGCCGACCUGAGAGGGUGAUCGGCCACACUGGAACUGAGACACGGUCCAGACUCCUACGGGAGGCAGCAGUAGGGAAUCUUCCGCAAUGGGCGAAAGCCUGACGGAGCAACGCCGCGUGAGUGAUGAAGGUCUUCGGAUCGUAAAGCUCUGUUGUUAGGGAAGAACAUAUGUGUAAGUAACUGUGCACAUCUUGACGGUACCUAACCAGAAAGCCACGGCUAACUACGUGCCAGCAGCCGCGGUAAUACGUAGGUGGCAAGCGUUAUCCGGAAUUAUUGGGCGUAAAGCGCGCGUAGGCGGUUUUUUAAGUCUGAUGUGAAAGCCCACGGCUCAACCGUGGAGGGUCAUUGGAAACUGGAAAACUUGAGUGCAGAAGAGGAAAGUGGAAUUCCAUGUGUAGCGGUGAAAUGCGCAGAGAUAUGGAGGAACACCAGUGGCGAAGGCGGCUUUCUGGUCUGUAACUGACGCUGAGGUGCGAAAGCGUGGGGAUCAAACAGGAUUAGAUACCCUGGUAGUCCACGCCGUAAACGAUGAGUGCUAAGUGUUAGGGGGUUUCCGCCCCUUAGUGCUGCAGCUAACGCAUUAAGCACUCCGCCUGGGGAGUACGGUCGCAAGACUGAAACUCAAAGGAAUUGACGGGGACCCGCACAAGCGGUGGAGCAUGUGGUUUAAUUCGAAGCAACGCGAAGAACCUUACCAAAUCUUGACAUCUUUUGAUCGCUCUAGAGAUAGAGUUUUCCUCUUCGGAGGACAAAAUGACAGGUGGUGCAUGGUUGUCGUCAGCUCGUGUCGUGAGAUGUUGGGUUAAGUCCCGCAACGAGCGCAACCCUUAAGCUUAGUUGCCAUCAUUAAGUUGGGCACUCUAAGUUGACUGCCGGUGACAAACCGGAGGGAAGGUGGGGAUGACGUCAAAUCAUCAUGCCCCUUAUGAUUUGGGCUACACACGUGCUACAAUGGACAAUACAAAGGGCAGCAAAACCGCGAGGUCAAGCAAAUCCCAUAAAGUUGUUCUCAGUUCGGAUUGUAGUCUGCAACUCGACUACAUGAAGCUGGAAUCGCUAGUAAUCGUAGAUCAGCAUGCUACGGUGAAUACGUUCCCGGGUCUUGUACACACCGCCCGUCACACCACGAGAGUUUGUAACACCCGAAGCCGGUGGAGUAACCAUUUGGAGCUAGCCGUCGAAGGUGGACAAAA
rnacentral:rRNA from 1 species